rnacentral:rRNA from 1 species
GACAGAGGAGGCUAGCGUUGUUCGGACUCACUGGGCUUAAAGCGGGUGUCGGCGGCCCGGUAAGUACCUUGUGAAAGCCCUCGGCUCACCCGAGGAAUUGCUUGGUAUACUGCCGGGCUUGAGGCAGGUAGGGGUCGCUGGAACUAUAGGUGGAGCGGUGAAAUGCGUAGAUAUCUAUGGGAACGCCAGUGGCGAAAGCGGGCGACUGGGCCUGACCUGACGCUGAGACCCGAAAGCGUGGGGAGCAAACGGG